AAAUUGAAGAGUUUGAUCAUGGCUCAGAUUGAACGCUGGCGGCAGGCCUAACACAUGCAAGUCGAACGGUAACAGGAAGCAGCUUGCUGAUUUGCUGACGAGUGGCGGACGGGUGAGUAAUGUCUGGGAAACUGCCUGAUGGAGGGGGAUAACUACUGGAAACGGUAGCUAAUACCGCAUAACGUCGCAAGACCAAAGAGGGGGACCUUAGGGCCUCUUGCCAUCGGAUGUGCCCAGAUGGGAUUAGCUAGUAGGUGGGGUAAA
rnacentral:rRNA from 1 species